rnacentral:rRNA from 1 species
GACGAACGCUGGCGGCGUGCUUAACACAUGCAAGUCGAACGGAAAGGCCCUGCUUUUGUGGGGUGCUCGAGUGGCGAACGGGUGAGUAACACGUGAGUAACCUGCCCUUGACUUUGGGAUAACUUCAGGAAACUGGGGCUAAUACCGGAUAGGAGCUCCUGCUGCAUGGUGGGGGUUGGAAAGUUUCGGCGGUUGGGGAUGGACUCGCGGCUUAUCAGCUUGUUGGUGGGGUAGUGGCUUACCAAGGCUUUGACGGGUAGUCGGCCUGAGAGGGUGAACGGCCACAUUGGGACUGAGAUACGGCCCAGACUCCUACGGGGAGCAGCAGGGGGGAAUAUUGCACAAUGGGCGGAAGCCUGAUGCAGCAACGCCGCGUGAGGGAUGACGGCCUUCGGGUUGUAAACCGCUUUCGCCUGUGACGAAGCGUGAGUGACGGUAAUGGGUAAAGAAGCACCGGCUAACUACGUG